UAGAAGGGGUGGGGGUGAGCCUUGGCUGGGGAACAGGCUGUGGGCAGCCCCUGCAAAGAUGAGGCUGUGGGACACCCUGGCAGAGAUGGGGUAGUGGUGGCUGGGGAGGUUGUGGCGGGUCCCCGCAGAGAUGGGGCUGUGGGGGGUGAGAGGCUCCUGGGGGCCCCAGCAGAGAUGGGGGUUGGGGGAGGUGAUGGUGGCAGAGUAGGUGCCAGCUCAUGCCGAGGUCCCUAGGCCUCAGCUGAAUGCUGACAAAUGCAGAGCUGGCGACCUGUGUGUUAGUAUUGCUAAAAUAGGCGCUGCAGAGGGAAACACUGCAGUGGAAAUGGCCUGAUUGCAGUACCUGGCAGCCCAGGAAGAACACAAGCAUCAGAGACUGAUGGCAGAAGCAGAGGCUCAGAUAAUAUCAUGGCUGAACCCAAGAAAAAAUGUAGACAAUAUAGUAUUGAAUAUUUGAACUAUGGCUUUAUUCAGUCGCCUACAAACAAUACAUUACCGAUUUACCUGAUUUGCCAAGAAGUUUUAUCAAAUGAAGCUAUGAAGCCUUCAAGACUACAAGAACAUUUGACAAAAGUUCAUGCUGAUGAGAAAGAUAAGGAUUUAUCUUAUUUUCAAGCACUUAAAGAAAAUUUUUGAGACAGCCGACAUUGGCAAAACUCUUUUCAAUAGCAUCCAAAGAACAUGACAAUGGGUUGCGUGAUUCUUACAACAUUUCGUUACUGAUUGCUAAAUCGGGAAAACCGCAUACUAUUGGUGAAGAACUAAUUCUACCGGCUAUAAGUGAGGUAAUAUGCACUAUGCUACACAAACCAGCGUCUGAUAUUACCAAGAAAAUUUCUUUGAGCAAUAAUACAGUGCAAAGAAGAAUUGAUGAAAUGGCUCAAGAUGUUGAAGACUCAUUAUGUGAGUAUUUAAAAACAUCCCAGUUCUCUAUACAGCUUGAUGAGUCAACUUUGCCAGGAAAUGAAGCCUUACUUUUAGCAUACAUGCGAUUCAUAGCAGAAGAAAAAAUUUGCCAAGAAUUAUUAUUUGCUAAAAAUUUGCGAACUGAUACUAAAGGAGAAUCGAUAUUUCAUGUAUUGGAAGAGUUUUUUAAAGAAAAAGAAAUCCCCCUGAGUAAUAUCUUGUCAGUUGCUACUGAUGGUGCUCCAGCGAUGAUAGGGCGCUACAGGGGUUUUCUUGCAUAUUUAAAAAAAGCGGUUCCAAAUAUAUUCGCUGUACACUGUGUCAUUCAUCGUCAACAUUUAGUUGCCAAAAAUUUGAGUGAACGCCUACAUAGGUCAUUACAUUAUGUCAUUAAAGCAAUCAACAAAAUCAGAAGCAAUUCAUUGAAUGACAGAUUGUUUGGACAACUUUGUAUUGAAAACGAUGAAGAAUUCAAUCGCUGCUUCAUACAGAAUUUCGUUGGCUAUCAAAAGGUGCCUGUUUGGAUCGGUUUUAUAAACUCUUUGACUCAGUGCUAGAGUUCCUAGAAAACAAAGAUGAUGCUUUACGAGCCAACUUGAUUGAUUCCAAAAAUGACAUUGCUUAUUUGACAGACUUGUUUAAUAAAUUUAAUGAAACAAAUUUACAGCUCCAAGGCGAUGAGCUGAAUUUAAUCAAAACAAAAACUGUUAUUUCCACGUUUGUGGCAAAACUUCUUCUGUACAAUCGAAAUUUAGGAUGAGGAGAAUUCAGCCAGUUUCCAAAUUUAUUAACAGUAGAAAAACAUGAUGAAGACUUGCUUACCUAUUGUCAGCACUUGGAGGCUCUCCAUUCUGACUUCAAUCAACGAUUUGAAGAUAUACUUAAAA